rnacentral:rRNA from 1 species
GGAUUCCCCCAGUAACUGCGAGUGAAGAGGGAACAGCUCAUCAUUGGAAUCAGACAGGGCUUGGCUCUGUCCGAGUUGUAGAUGAGACGAGUAGGUUCAUCUGGACUGCAUGGCACUCAAGUACGAUAAUGCCCAUCAGUGGGACAUCAUAGAGGGUGACAAUCCCGUCUUUGGUGCCGAUGUUCGAGUCCUCUUACGAUGCCUAUCUCAGGAGAGUCGAGCAGUUUGGGAUUUGCUGCUUCAACAUGGGAGGUAGACACCUUCUAAAGCUAAAUAUUGGCAAGAGACCGAUAGUGGACAAGUACCGCAAGGGAAAGAUGAAAUAGCACUCUGUAAAGGGAGUCAAAAGACGUGAAAUUGUUGCGAGAGAAGCGAUUCAAGUCAGCUUGACUAGGACCAUCGACGAUUCUUUCGUCUGGACUAGUCUCGCCAGCGGUCUCAUCCUCUCCAAAGGGUUUGACCGAUGCGCCCUCAGUUGCGCGGCUGGUGGAAUGGCUUGCAAUCGACCCGUCUUGAAACACGGACCAAGGAGUCUAACAUGCAUGCAAGUAUAAGGGUGACAAACCCGUAUGCGCAAUGAAAGUGACUUUCGGUGAUUGCUGUGUGGCCUGACGACCAGACACGAAACGUGUUGUCCCUCGGAUGGCCACUGCCCAGGUUCCGUGGUACGAUCCCAUGAACAUGGAGACGGAGCAUGCAUGCUAGGACCCGAAAGAUGGUGAACUAUGCCUGGACAGAGCGAAGCCAAAGGAAACUCUGGUGGAGGCUCGUAGCGAUUCUGACGUGCAAAUCGAUCGUCUGAUCUGGGUAUAGGGGCGAAAGAC